rnacentral:lncRNA from 1 species
UAAGAAAAUGAGGAUUUUUGGAAAUUUUGAGGGGGGAAAAUGCUAAAAUUGGGAAAAAAAUGAGGAUUUUGGGGGAAAAAACCGGGAAAAUGGGGAAAGAAAAGGAAAUUUUUGAGAAUUUUUGGGAAAAAACGGGAAAAUUGGGUAAGAAAAGGAGGAUUUUGGGGAAUUUUGGGGUUGGAUGUGGAAUUUUGAGGAUAAAAGUGGAGUUUUUGGGGAAUUCCUGAGGGGAUUUUGGGGAAUUAAAGCGGAUUUUUGAGACAAAAGGGGGUUUUUUUGGAGGGAAUGGGAGAGAAUUUUUCGGGAAUAACAAAAUUCAGGAAAUCCGCGUGGAAUUUUGGGGAAUAAAAACGAAUUUUCGUGAGGGGGAAGGGGAGGGAGGGAAGCGCAUUUUUGAGGAAAAAAUACCGAUAUUUUUAAAAAUAAAAAUUCAGGAUAAAAAGGAGAGGUUUGGGAAGGGGAAUCGCUUCUUGAAGGAAAAAAAAAAAGGGAAUUUGGGAUGGAACAAAAUUUGGGAAAACCGACCUGGAAUUGGCGGGCGGAGAUUUGCCCUCAACAAAGAUGGCGGCGGCCGCGCCCUGCGCCCUCACCCAAAAUGGUGCUGCCCACAACAAAGAUGGCGCCCGUGCUUUGCUCGAUACCCGCUUUGCCCUCACCCAAGAUGGCGCCUCCGCCUUCAACCUUUUCCCGCGCCGCUUCGCGCUGAUUGGUCGGAUUUUUUCCCGCCCUUCAAUCGGAUUGGCUCCUCACCCGGAAGUAGGCGUGGUAUCUCCGCAUGGUCGUGAUGGCGGGCGGCGUGUCCGGGAGAACGGACCCGUUCCCCGGGCCGGCGCCGGUGCCGCGGCCCAGAGUGAAGAGGUUCCUGCGGGGCGCGGACGAGAAAGCGCCCCGCGCCGUCGCCCCCCGGCUCCGCUGGCACCUGAAAAAUUUGGAAAAUCGGGAAAAUUCAGCAGCAGAAAAAGCAGCAAGAUGGGAACCCCUCCUGCCCGAGGAGCCAGGGUUUUUGGAGGCGGAUCCGGGCGAGGAUCCCGCGAGGAUCUCGCAGCGGGAAAUCGCCGACGCCGUGGAUAUCGCCAGCGCCAGCAAGGUGGGGAUUGGGGGGAAAAAUGGGGAUUUUGGGGAAAAAUGGGAAUUUGGGGAAAAAAAUGGGAAUUUUGGGGGGAAAAUUGGGGAUUUUGGGGGGGAAAAAUGGGGAUUUUGGGGAAAAAAAAGGAUGUUUUAGGAGAAAAAAUGGAGGUUUUAGGUGGAAAAAUGGGAAUUUUGGGGGGAAAAAUGGGAAUUUGGGGGGGAAAAAUGGGAAUUUUGGGGAAAAAAAUGGGAAUUUGGGGGGGAAAAUGGGAAUUUGGGGGGGAAAUGGGAAUUUUGGGGAAAAAAUGGGGAUUUUGGGGGGAAAAAUGGGAAUUUUGGGGAAAAUUUGGGAUUUUGGGGGGGAAAAAUGGGGAUUUUGGGGAAAAAAAAGGAUGUUUUAGGAGAAAAAAUGGAGGUUUUAGGUGGAAAAAUGGGAAUUUCCGGGGGAAAAAUGGGAAUUUUGGGGGGAAAAAAUGGGGAUUUGAGGGGAAAAAUGGGGAUUUUGGGGAAAAAAUAUGGGAUUUGGGGGGAAAAAAU